rnacentral:rRNA from 1 species
GAUGAACGCUAGCUACGGGCUUAACACAUGCAAGUCGAGGGGAAACGAUAGGGAAAGCUUGCUUUUUCUAGGCGUCGACCGGCGCACGGGUGAGUAACGCGUAUCCAACCUGCCCAUCACUUGGGGAUAACCUUGCGAAAGUAAGACUAAUACCCAAUGACGUCUCUAGAAGACAUCUGAAGGAGAUUAAAGAUUUAUCGGUGAUGGAUGGGGAUGCGUCUGAUUAGCUUGUUGGCGGGGUAACGGCCCACCAAGGCGACGAUCAGUAGGGGUUCUGAGAGGAAGGUCCCCCACGUUGGAACUGAGACACGGUCCAAACUCCUACGGGAGGCAGCAGUGAGGAAUAUUGGUCAAUGGACGAGAGUCUGAACCAGCCAAGUAGCGUGCAGGAAGACGGCCCUAUGGGUUGUAAACUGCUUUUAUAAGGGAAUAAAGUGAGUCUCGUGAGACUUUUUGCAUGUACCUUAUGAAUAAGGACCGGCUAAUUCCGUGCCAGCCGCCGCCGUAA